GGGCCCGCACAAGCGGUGGAGCAUGUGGUUUAAUUCGAUGCAACGCGAAGAACCUUACCAGGGCUUGACAUACUGCAGAUCUUUUUGAGAAAGAAGAGUGCCUUCGGGAACGCAGUGACAGGUGGUGCAUGGCUGUCGUCAGCUCGUGUCGUGAGAUGUUGGGUUAAGUCCCGCAACGAGCGCAACCCACGUCUUUAGUUGCCAGCAUUUAGUUGGGCACUCUAGAGAGACCGCCGGUGACAAACCGGAGGAAGGUGUGGAUGACGUCAAGUCAUCAUGCCCCUUACGUCCUGGGCUACACACGUACUACAAUGCUACGGACAAAGAGCAGCUAACUCGCGAGAGUACGCAAAUCUCAUAAACCGUGGCUCAGUUCAGAUCGUAGGCUGCAACUCGCCUACGUGAAGGAGGAAUCGCUAGUAAUCG
rnacentral:rRNA from 1 species